GCGCGCGUGGCGGAAUUGGUAGACGCGCAUGAUUCAGGUUCAUGUGGGAGCAAUCCUGUGGAGGUUCGAGUCCUCUCGCGCGCACCA
rnacentral:tRNA from 1 species